UACAGAGGUCCCAAGCGUUGUUCGGAUUCACUGGGCGUAAAGGGUGCGUAGGCGGUCGGGUAAGUCCGAUGUGAAAUCUCACAGCUUAACUGUGAAACUGCAUUGGAUACUAUUCGGCUUGAGAGUUGGAGGGGGGACUGGAAUUCUUGGUGUAGCAGUGAAAUGCGUAGAGAUCGGGAGGAACACCAGUGGCGAAGGCGGCCUUCUGGACCAAUACUGACGCUCAUGCACGAAAGCGUGGGGAGCAAACAGG
rnacentral:rRNA from 1 species